AAGAAAAGACAAAAAAAAGAAGGAGUUCUAAACUCCCAAUUGAUAGAAAAAAAAGUACAUCAAUUAAGUUAUUAGUCGAACAAAAAAAGAAGAUA
rnacentral:sRNA from 1 species